rnacentral:lncRNA from 1 species
CUUCUCAUCCCUUUACUUCUAACAUAUUUGUGGGUUUUUUUUGUUUAAAAUGGAUUUCUUGUAGAUGACACAUAAUUGAACUUUUAAAAAUUCAACAUGGCAAUAUCUGCUUUAAUUUAAUUUAUUUACACUUAUUGUGAUUAUUGAUAUGGUUGGCUUUUUUGGAGUACCAGGGAUUGAACUCAGGGGCACUAGACCACUGAGCCACAUCCCCAGUUCUAUUUUGUAUUUUAUUUGGAGACAGGGUCUCAAUGAGUUGCUUAGCACCUUGCUUUUACUGAGGCUGACUUUGAAUUUGGAUCUUCUUGCCUCAGCCUCCUGAGCCACUGGGAUUAUAGGCAUGCACCACUGCGCCCGGGUGAUAUGGUUGGCUUUUAAUCUGUUAUUUUGCUAUGUGCUUUCUUUUUUCCUAUCUUGUGUGCAUGAGUGUGUGGGCGUGUGUGUGUGUGUAUGUGUGGUACUAGGGAUUGAACCCAAGGCCUUGCACAUACAACCACUGCACUAAAUCCCCAAUCCUUUUUAUUCUUAUUUUGAGACAGGAUCUUACUAAGUUGUCCAAGCUGGCUUUGAACGUGGAAUCCUCCUGUUUCAGCCUCCCAAGUAGCUCAGAUUACAAGUGUGCACCACCUAACCAGGACUUCUUAUCUAUUGAUAAUCAUUUUUCUUUGUUGUUAUUUCUGUUUUUUAACUAGGCGGGUAUUUUUCAUGAUUAUCUCUUUCUAGAGAACCUGGCCUGAGAUGAUUAUAAAGCAAAUGACCAAGGGGAGCAACUAACUGGAGCUUAAUCCCACUAGAAAACCUGAGGAAGCGUGUAGAGCAAUGCCUCAGAAUUAUCUUCUCCAGGGAGCAGGGGAGCUGUAUAUGUAUCCAACAACUCCCAUCCAGUCUUUGGUGAGGACUGUUAAAUCCCAGCCUUUUGGGCCUGCCCCAGGUGACAAUAGAGCAUCUCCACCUGUCAAAGAGCAGUGUAGAGCCAGGCCUGUGAGAGGGAGAGGAUGAGUGCUAAGAAGAUAUAUGUGGGUGAGACACCAAGAGGAAGCACAGAACAGAAUGGUGAACAGCAGUAAAAAUGGAUGAACUAUUGGCAUCAAUAUGGAUCAAUCUCACCCAAACAAUAUUGAAUAAAACAAGCAAGUUGUAAAAGAAUAUAAAUGAUGAGCAUAGUAUAAAUCAUAGAAAAAAAUGAAUCAUGCAAAACAAGAAUAAAUCUGAGAGAGAGAGAGUAGAAAAACAUGAUGAACAGUAAAUUUAGGAGAGUUGUAACCACCAACAAAGAGGGAGGAAUGGGAACAGUUUGGAGUACACAUAGGAGGC